UAAGUUAUAAGAUUAAUCUGAGGGCCAUAGGAAAUUUAAUUAAGAUGGCACACCUCUUAAACAAUUAAAAGAGUUACACUUAAUUAGGCAUAAGGGACAUUGAUACUUGUAAAAGAUAAAAUGCACAAUUGUUAUCAAGAAGGUUUUAGGGGUCCAUGCUGGGGACUGGGCUGAAAUCAAGCCCAAGAAAAAGGAUGAAUGGGGGAACAUGGCCUAACUAAUUCGGCUGAUUCGAUUGGGCCAGCAUUGAGCCCAGCUCUUUUAAGACAAAUGCCCAACAUUUAAGGCUCGUUUUAACCAGAUUAGAAUUAUGCAUAACGAAAUCCAUCAAUGGAAUUGAUUUAAACUUUGAAUCAAACUCAAAAUAGAGAUUAAAUUGACAAAAGAGUCCAAGGAUGAACUCAGAUCGGGCUGUCUCUGAUGGGCCAAUUCUAGGCCCAAAUAAGACUCAAGUCUCUUUAGUCACGUACAGUCCAGGACAUUGAGAACUUUAGCACAAAUUAAAGGCUUGUUCUAAGUCUAGCUAUUAACAAACUAUCAGUAUUAACCAGGAAAGAUGUAACCUUACUUAUCCAUGAAUCAUAUUGAAUUAAGGAUAUAAUCAUUUUACUACUGCUGCAAUUCGAGAAAGUAUAAUAAAAUUCCUGACUCUAGACAAACACUGCAUUAUUUAACACGUAUGGCCUAUUCAUAUGAACCUGCUCAUAUAUUUCCCCAAAUCUAAAUACAUAUUCAUGCUAAUAACAUUAAUUGUAACCAUGCUGAGGGCAUUAAACCACUUAAGCACAUAUGGACAGCUUAUAAUUGCAAGUUUUAAAUGCAGUAUCACAUAUUACACUUGUAGGGAUAGCUGAAGUUGCCUAGUAAAAUAUAAAGAAACUUCUAAAACUAACUCAGGCUUUCAACACUCAAAUACCAUGAUUGACAGCAGUGGACAUCAAAUUUAAGGGUAAACUAACUCAAAUAAGUGGGAGGAACAUUACAAACAAAGGAAAAAUAAGGAAAAAAAUAUUAAACAAAAAUAGAUCUGGAGCUUUUUAUUUUCCUGCCACCAUGUUAUAACCAUGUUUUUGGCUUUAGUGAGAAUACCUGGAUACAGCAAAAGGGAAAGGAAAUUCCUGAUAUCAGCUAGAGUGAACUAAUAAAGAAGAUAAGCAGAGCUUAAACAAUAGUAGUCAACAGCAAUACAACCACUUUAAACCAUGUUUGGAACCCAAAAACCAGCAAAGUAUUGAAGCUCCUUUUAAAACCCAGAAAAAUCAAAAUCAGGUACCCAAUGAAACAGUAUUCGAGACCCUUUUCAGCAUUUUUCCAGUUCUGAAAAUUCUAUCAGUGUGUGUUUUAAGAAUUUUAGGUGCAAAGAAUAGUGCCUAAAAGUCUGUCUUUGAGAGUGAAGGAAAGACACUACUUAUAGGCCUCUAAGGCCAUGUGCCCAAAACCAAUCCAGGAAAUAUUCUCAGGCUGCAAAAGGCAUCUUUUUCAACCACCUAGACAGCUGGUUGUCCCUUAUUGGCUUAGUAUUUUUGUGCUAACCAAAUAGGGACAACUGCCCCCUCCUCUAGAAGCUUCUAAGUGUAGGAAAUAUCUGAAAGUCCCUAUCUCAUGUCCAGCUUAAACCCUUAAGGUUUUAGCUAUUCAAUUAACACCCUAAGAGUUUUAAACAUUUCCAAACCAAGGAAAAUAACUCUAAAACAAAACCAAAAGGAAAUAAAAAUCAAAUGGCACCAAAGCCCUAAAACCUAAAAAGGUUUAUCAUUGAGAUGAAAUCAGAAAUGACACGACACUUAAACAUUUGAAAUUGACAUUAACAAGAAUUAACCAAUGAAUGAACCAAUUUCUGAGAUUCGGCCUUUUGAACUAAUUAAUACUUCCAUUUAACAGGGAAUUAAACCACAAUGAGAUACUAACAUGCUGAUUUCAAAACAAACCUGAUUAAACACAAGUUAAACCAAUUUAAAUAAACCCUAGUCGAAAAACUGAAAAUCUAAUGACCCUGAUGGAAAAUUCAUGAAUUAAUCCUAAACUACUGACUAGCGUUGAUGAUUAAGCACAUCAGUUAAUCAACAAGUCUAAAAAAAUAAAAGCCUAAAUCAUGCAACUACGAAUAGAUUAACCACAAUAAGAAAGAAGUCAAAGGAAAAAAAAGAAAUGGCUAAGAAAAGGUACUGAACAAGAACUUACCUAUUCUAUUGUAAUGAACCAAUGGGACUUGGAGAAUCUGGCCGGUUGCUGCCAACGAACCAUACUUCAGAGAGUUUUGAAAAUGACCCAAAAUCAACAAUAAUUGGUCGGUCUUGUCAAGAACGAUUGACUAAUGUUUGGGUCAAACUCUUGAAAAACGUCGGUGAGGUAAAAAGGGCAAAAUCGAGGGCUUUGGAGGUUUCUCAGAUCUGGAAUUUAAAGGAUUUGAUGAUUUUAUGAUGAAACAGAGUGGAGAUAUGGGGUUAGGGGGAGGUGGUGGUUGUUUGGUGAAGUUUUGAAGCCAUUUGGGCGUUUUCGGGUUUGGUAUUCAAAUCUGAAAUUCGAGGAUCUUGGUGGGGAUUUUAGGGAAGCCGUUUUGGGAUUUGGAAAGAGAAGAAGACAGGGAUUCUAGGGUGUGCUUUUGGUGGUGUUUGGAGGUGGUCUGCCACCGUGAGGCAAUUUUCGGUCGGCGGACUACCGCGGAGGCGGUGGGGGUUUUUAAUGCGGCUGGUCUCUAGGGUUUCUAAGCUUGAAAGACGAAAGUGGGAACUNNN
rnacentral:lncRNA from 1 species